rnacentral:lncRNA from 1 species
GCUUGCUUCUUCAUAAUGACAAAAGGGUAGAGAAAACUGACUUUCACAGCAUUAAUCAUAAUGAACAACGAACUAGAAACUACCGUAAUUGCAGGUUCUACAUCUACUUAUUGAUCUAGAUAGAACAGUUUUGUCAGAAAUUGACACAUACAAAAGUUCCAAACAGAAAUUAAAUGUAAAAUGGCAAACUCAAAAAGCUAAACAAGAUGCCAAAGAAACUGGAAGCAUGUAUUGUAAAUCUUAAAGGAAUAAUCUCAAAAUUCAAGCAAACAACAAACUAUUCCUUUCAAGGACUAUCCUCCGAAGAUGACAAAUUCUGACUCAAACCAAUUGCACACUCAAACCUGCAAAAAAUAAAUUAAUGUGUCAAGAAAUAAAAAAUAGACGAGACAAUUCUUGAGGAAUCUCACCAUUUUUUAAAUCUCGCCAUUUUUUAACUUCACAAAUUCAUUACUACAACAGAAAGCUUUACCUUCAUUUUUUAAACUGCCUAGCUCCACAAAACAACAUUUUUUUAAUAAUCCUAAAACCCUAAUUCAAGUAGAAGUGCAUCAAAUUUUCAAUAAUCUUAGAAGUCUAGAACAGAAACUAAAAGCCAUAAUGAAACAAGGAAAAGAGAUUCAGUUACCUCAGAAGUCGUACGGCUGUGUGCGUUCCGGAGGCGACGAGGCGUGAGCGUGAGCCUCAGCUUCCAAAUUGAGAUCGUUUCCCCUAUGUGAUGUUGAGUGUGUGCCCAAGGAAAAGAGAAAUCAGAUCCCUAAAUGGGCGGGUUUUCUCAACAUCUGAACUGGGCGAAUGGGGUGGGUGGUGGGGUGAGAGGGAGGGUAUAGAAGAGGAAGAAGAACUGGAAUUAGCCAUGGAUUUCAUUAUGUAACUAGCUUGGAGUAGUAAAGUUUUUGGCUUUACAUCUG